rnacentral:misc_RNA from 1 species
GAUGAAGAACGUAGCGAAAUGCGAUACGUAAUGUGAAUUGCAGAAUUCAGUGAAUCAUCGAAUCUUUGAACGCAUAUUGCGCUCUUUGGUAUUCCGAAGAGCAUGCUUGUUUGAGUAUCAGUAAACACCUCAAAGCUUUUGGAUUUUUUAAUCGAAAAGCUUUGGACUUGAGCAAUCCCAACACAAAUCUUUUUGAGAUCGGUGGCGGGUUGCUUGAAAUGCAGGUGCAGCUGGACAUUCUCCUGAGCUAAAAGCAUAUUCAUUUAGUCCCGUCAAACGGAUUAUUACUUUUGCUGCAGCUAACAUAAAGGGAGUUUGACCGUAUUGGCUGACUGAUGCAGGAUUUCACAAGGGUCGGCAACGAUUCUUGUUAAACUCGAUCUCAAAUCAAGUAAGACUACCCGCUGAACUUAAGCAUAUCAAUAAGCGGAGGA